AGCUUUCUGUGUCGCUCGUUUACUUUACUUGUUGAUGUGGAGCAAAGUAAAUGAGCGACAUAUUUUAU
rnacentral:pre_miRNA from 1 species